CCAACAUGUGUAAUACAGAUAUAAAUAGAAUUGCUGUGUGGUGUGCUCUAUGUGACCUGAGGGUUUGUAUUAGUAAUUAAAGUUGGAUAAAGGAGCCUAUAUUUGCUGAAUACCAAGGGAAAUCUGGACUACUUACAAACUGCGGCUGACACUGUGGAAAGACACGACCAUGUCUGCUUCUGACAGCCCACUCAUCACUUCGCUCCUGGGUCUGCCUCCUUCAUCCGGUUGCCCAUUACCUCAUCUGGAAGGUCUUGGGCCCCAGUAUAUCAGGCAGGUCCUUGGAGCCAGGAAACUCCUUUCCCUUGAUGCCUUCACUUUCUGCAGCUGCCACGAGCCUGAAUGCAUCUGCGCAGGCUUGGUCUUGUUUCUUCAAAAACUGGGAGAUUUGGACCAGGGAAAAGUCUGCAAAAGAAGAGAUGCCAGGUUCCUGAUUAAACAGAAACACAGAUAUGUACAAGAAAGAAGACAACUGGGCAUCCU
rnacentral:lncRNA from 1 species